CCUUCUGUAGGUGAACCUGCGGAAGGAUCAUUACCGAGUUCUCGGGCUUCGGCUCGACUCUCCCACCCUAUUGUGAACAUACCUCUGGAUUGCUUUGGCGGCUUUCGGGCCGCCAGAGGACUAUCAAACUCCAGUCAGUAAACGUUGACGUCUGAUAAACAAGUUAAUAAACUAAAACUUUCAACAACGGAUCUCUUGGUUCUGGCAUCGAUGAAGAACGCAGCGAAAUGCGAUAAGUAAUGUGAAUUGCAGAAUUCAGUGAAUCAUCGAAUCUUUGAACGCACAUUGCGCCCCUUGGUAUUCCGAGGGGCAUGCCUGUUCGAGCGUCAUUACAACCCUCAAGCUCUGCUUGGUAUUGGGCGUCGUCCUCUUGCGGACGCGCCUCAAAGACCUCGGCGGUGGCUCUGGCCCUCAAGCGUAGUAGAAUACACCUCGCUUUGGAGCGGUUUGGAGUCGCCCGCCGGACGAACCUUCUGAACUUUUCUCAAGGUUGACCUCGGAUCAGGUAGGGAUACCCGCUGAACUUAAGCAUAUCAAUAAGCGGAGGAACU
rnacentral:rRNA from 1 species